UAGGCCGUGGGCUGUUGUGCAAAAAAGUGCCUAGAAAAGCAAUUUCGUGGCACCCAUCUGGGAAAUAGAUUUUCUGUGGUUCAAUUCAUAGAACAAUAGAUGCUUAAUUACCACAAAAAGUUCCCAAGCAAAAAACCUGCCCAACACCGAGAAAAUGGGUGAUCAGUGAUUAUCCUCUAUUAAAUUGUAUUACAGCAAGAAAAUGUAAAAUUUUGUAUUCAAUUACAACAAAAAUGACUUGCAUUAUCAGAAAGCUUACAAAAACCUACAUAUAAGACAUUUAAACAGUUUUUUUAUAUCUAUAAUUGUUUUCGAGUUAUACGCUGUCAAAACGCGUUUUUGACCUAGUACCCAGUCCUUAUUGCGACAUUUUGGUCCAAUUUUCACAUUUAAAACAGCAAUAACUCAAAGACUAUUCGAAAAAUCAAAAAACUGUUUAAAAGUCUUGUAUGCGGUUUUUUGUACGUUUUCCGAUGAUGCAAGUCAUUUUUAUUGUAAUUGAAUACAGAAUUUCUCAUAUUUUUGCUGUAAUACAAUUUAAUAGAGGAUAAUCAUUGAUCACCCAUUUUCUCGGGAUUGGGCAACUUUUUUGCUUGGGAACUUUUUU